AGGAAUAAUAUAUUUUAUUUGUGACUUGUCCAAUUAAUUAAGCAGCAUUUAUACAUGAUUACUGUAUUAAUACACAAGGUACAGCCGCAAUCUACCUGUGAGUGAUAACGUGAAAUUGAGCCAGUCGUUAACUUUCAUUUAUUUCUCCAAACAGUUGCAGUCUAAUUAAGCACCAUACGUGUUUACUGCACUAAUACACAGGGCAGUACACAAGAUCUGAGAGGGCCAAAUAUGUCCAGGUUACAGAAGGUUUCUAAACGAAAGAGCCAGAAUGUGGGUAGUAGCAGCACCAACUAUCUGGCCAGACGUAGGAGUAGUAGGUUGCAGUUGUCCCCACUGGCUUCAGAAAGGCGCAACAUUAUAGUUGAGAACAAACAGGAUGAGAUUUUUGAUUGGAUGGCUCACUCCUCCUCUCAGUUGCAGAAGGAUGAUGUGGAGGUGACUUCAGAGUUGGACAUCAUACCAUGUAGCCAGUGGUUACAGAGUUCCUCCUGCUACUCCUACUUGCAGCCCCAAGGAAGGCUUUCAGUGGAGUCAUCUCAGUCUUCACUGCCCCUUCCUAGUGGGAUGCUUUCCUUUUUCCAAAGUAGUGGCAAGAAAACCCCACCAUGCCCUAUAGCAGAUAGUCAAGAGAGUCUCCCUGUUGAUGACUUUUGUGAGUCCUCACCGUUUGUGCUGCCCUGAGGAGGUGGAUGGGAAGAAGGUUGGUGACCCCAUGAAUACCUGUGUUGAUGCUAGUGGUAAUAAUUGCGCCUGUAACCAUGGCAUUGGUGGUGGGGGCAGCAACAAUGACAGUUGGGGAAAAUGCAGAGCAUGGGAUGGGGGCCCAGGAGCCCAUCAUGAUACCUCACAGUCUGAUAAAAGUGGCAGGGAGAGUGAGGACAGGACCUGGGAGCUGGAUCACGGUGCUGAGUAGGAGGCAACACGUGGAGAAGGGCAGCAAUAAAGAGCAGAGGCCACGUACCUCCCAAAGAAUAGGCAGGGCCACGUCGGCUGCCAUGGAUCUGGUGAUGCCGCUCAUGUUGUGGGUGGGUUAGGCCCAAAGCUAAGCCCAGCCUGGCUGCCUCUACCUCUGCUGUAUGAGUAUCUCCCAUCUGGAUGUUUUUUCUCUAUGCUGAUGGAAGACAAAAGCAUUGCCUUGUGCAAGCUGUGCAAGAGCAAAUUAAGAUGUGGGCACCAGCCAGGCCGCAUCGAAAAGCAGUACGGUGCCUUUCACAUCAUCUUCCCUUUCUGUUUCUCCCGCUCAAACUCCUUAUCCUUCGUUCCAUUGUCAGCCAUCGAUAAAGGAAUUUGUGGCCAGGAAAUAACUCUACACGCCGAGCAAUCCAAUGGUGUGCAAGCUUAAUUCCCACCUUGCCAAGUUGCUGAUGGGGCAGUUGUUGUCGUACCAUUUAGUCGAGGCUGCUGCUUUUAGGGAGCAAAAGGAAUGCACUCAGCCUUGCUGGAAGAUUUCUAGCUGGCAUAUCUCCUAAAAAGCCACCCCUGCAUUGUACUCUCACGUUGCUGAUAACGUGGGCCACUCCCUGCGAUUCUUGCUGUGCAGCACAGUUUACGCCACGGUGGACGCCUAGAGCAUCUCUUACGGGUAGGGACAGUACGUCUUUCACGGCCCACUGAGUCAAUGUUUUUACAGGCAGCGACGAGGCAGCAUCCUGGCAACUAGGCCAGGUCCUUUUGAACCCCCCACGAUUGUGUCAGCCUGGAUCCUACACCAGGCACUUAUUCGUCGUCUCCUCCAUGGACAUCGUCUUAUCCCCAACAGCAGCUGGACACAGGGUUGCUUGCACUACCCCACCUUCCUAUAACAUGUCAGAUCAAGUGUUGCCACAACAUGUUGGAGCUGAUCGGCCUCGGAAAGAGUAGCCACACUGGUGAGCAGUUGCUGAAGUACACCAAGCAGCAAACAUUCCGCUGGCUGUCACCCCAACUGGACAAUGUGGUCAGCGACAAUGUUCUCAACAUCGUGGCUGCCCAGAACCUGGGCAAAAUAACACAUGUUCCCUGCAUGGCACACGUCAUUAACCUAGUGGUGCAUCGCUUUCUAAAUAAGUACACUGGCUUGCGCAAGGUGCUGGCAAAAUG